GACGUAGGGCGCGAGCGUUGUCCGGAUUUAUUGGGCGUAAAGAGCUCGUAGGCGGCUUGUCGCGUCGAAAUGUGAAAACUCGGGGCUCAACUCCGAGCUUGCAUUCGAUACGGGCAGGCUAGAGUUCGGUAGGGGAGACUGGAAUUCCUGGUGUAGCGGUGAAAUGCGCAGAUAUCAGGAGGAACACCGGUGGCGAAGGCGGGUCUCUGGGCCGAUACUGACGCUGAGAGCGAAAGCGUGGGGAGCGAACAGG
rnacentral:rRNA from 1 species